rnacentral:rRNA from 1 species
CACGUAGGGCGCAAGCGUUGUCCGGAAUUCUUGGGCGUAAAGAGCUCGUAGGCUGUCUGUUGCGUCCGCUGUGAAAACUCGGGGCUUAACCCCGAGCCUGCAGUGGAUACGGGCAGACUAGAGGUAGGUAGGGGAGAAUGGAAUUCCCGGUGUAGCGGUGAAAUGCGCAGAUAUCGGGAGGAACACCGGUGGCGAAGGCGGUUCUCUGGGCCUUACCUGACGCUGAGGAGCGAAAGCGUGGGGAGCGAACAGG